CUGCGUGACGAAGCGCGCGCUAAAGUAGACAAUAAAGCCUAAGGUAUACACGAGUCGCCAGACGCCGGCCAAGCCGGCGUUUUUUA
rnacentral:sRNA from 1 species